rnacentral:lncRNA from 1 species
CUCCUGUCAGAGAAAGAGAAACAUUUCAGCGUCUGAAACAACCAAGAAAUGGAUUUAAACACCCAAGAAAGAACUUGAAGAAGACAUUAAAUUAGACAAAAUGAAUUCAAAGAGACAACAUAAUCCUUUUAGUUGGGGUGAGUCCAAAAGCGUCCGUGUAUCUUGUCUUCAGUGUGUGCAUGUCUAACCGUCAUUCUUGCCUCCUUUGAAAACAGCUUCAUUUUCAGCGUCUCAUUUGACUUUAAUCCCCGACUCUUUGCUCGGGGCUAAAUGAAAAGGUAGAGGUAAGGAUGAGGUUACCAAACACAUUUUUUGGCACAGCACAGUGAGAUAGCUGCUCUUUGCUCGGGGAGGGAUGAGCUUGGAGAGCACACAUGCAGGUAAAGGUUUCUUCUCCUCUGUCUUGGCAGAUUCUCCUCCUACUUUCUUGCCUUCUCCUCGGUGACUUUUCGUUGAACUCCAUCCGCUCGCUCCCUUCUACAAACUUCAGAUUCUGACUUUCAGGGGAAGAAGAAGAAGAAGAAAAUACGGAUUUCAAACUCUCGGUGGUCUUUUCUUAUUCAUUCCUCUUCCCCUGAGUCUCUCAGGCCAAGCUCACUCUUCAUCGGUGGACGGUGUCUUGUCUUUUGUCUCUUUUUAAUCUGUGAUCCUCUCCUCCACUCUCCUGCCCUCUCCUCUUUACCCGUUUCACCUCUUAUCUCCUUCUACUCCUCACAACCUCCAUUCCUCAAUCAACUCAUUUCCUCUCAUUUUCACUCACUUCCAGCGCUCAUCGCUCUCCCUCUUGCUUCAAAAAUGUGCCUGAAAAUGAGAUGAUGUAAGAAAUCGCUCCGCUUUUGCAAGAGCAGGCUCGAACCCAAACAGUGGGUUCCUGAGUUUUAUAAUAAAGUCUUGGUGUCCUUUUCUUAAAGCUUUUGGGAGCACCAAAAAAAAAAAAAGAACGAUAGCUGUGCUUUAAGUCAGACAGAUGUCAAAUACCUUUGAGCAAACUGUGCGAUGUAUUCAAGAACUGCAGAUCUGAUCACCUGAGAUAUACGUCUCUGGGUUAAUCUCUCUUUUCUUGAGCUUCGCUUGCAGAAGAGACAAUCGACGGGGGGAGAGGAAUUCUUUAAAAUUCUCCUCCUUGUCGAGAAUUUCUCUGACGUGUGUUGGCAGAUCUGCUCCCUCGGUGCUCCUGAGUUAUCCCUUGAUGCUUUUUUUACAGUUUGAAGACUUGACAGAAAUGCAGCUUAUUAGCAGUAUCUCCAUACCAGUUUGCUUCUGUUGUUGUUGAUGGACAAUCUGAGCAUUUUUCACUGUUUAUCUCUCAAUCCCUCCGAGAUUCGAGUCGUGAAAAUGUAGCCAAGAUUAGAAAAAAAAAAAGCAUUUAGUGGGAGUGGGAAACAAAUGAUGAAAUAGUGUUUGAUUGUUCUCUGGGCACAAGGCUCUUGCCUACUGUCGUUGUACAGCCAAGGCUGAGAUGGUUUCACUGUAAAAUUAGGCGUCUCUAAUGCCGGCUAAGCUCUUAAGCUGCUCAUUUUUGACGCUAUUGUUGCCCUGGUUUUCGCUCUCCCUCCGUUUCCCUUUGUUUCUCCGUCUCUUGCUUCUCCUCUCACCUUUUCCUUUGUACCCCCUUCCACAUUUCUCCCUCUCUCUCUCUACUCUGUCCUCGCCUUCCUGCCUGCUAUCUCUAUCUCGGCUGCCCUCUGAGAGUUGUAUUGUUGCGGUCGGUGGCUGAGAGUUCGAGGAGAAGAGCACGGUCAGACAGGGGCAGUCAUCCACACAGUGCACAAAAUAAAGCUUCCUUUUUUUACAAAAUGUCCCGAGACUACAGCUCUUCUCAUGCAGGACAUCUUUGUGAGGAUCUAUAUUUGACUUCUUUUUUUUAACCAAACAAAAACCGUCCGAUUUAUGUGGGUCAUCUUUCAGUCCAGCUGAGUCGUGCCCUGGUGAGAACGUGUCAUCGCAGUGAGGAGCAGCUGUCCUGCAGCCACUUGCAAUGUCAGGGACGACGUGAUCACACACAGAUCAGAUCAAUCUUUUAGGAGUCAGGACUGGAGUCUUACGCACUCUUUUAGAAAUCUACUCUGCUUGACCACCAGGGCACGAUAUAUUCAAAUCAAAUCAAAUCAAACUUUAUUUAUAGAACACUUUUCAUGCAUGGACAUUUAACACAAACACACGCAUACACGUUUACCUGACCAACAGUGGACUAUGAGCCUAGACUGACCAAGCGUGGACCCCUAUUUCUGGUCAUUUUAAUAAAACAUCUUUUUUUCUUUUCAUCCAUGGCAGAGUGAGAAGUCGUUGCGUAUCUAAGUGGGAACUUUUGUCACUAUUUACCAACCAACAGGGAACCUUUGUCAGUCCAAAAGGUGCGUUAUUUUUCUGUAAUGUGCAUGGUUAAAAAUAUUUCAUUCUCAGAAGUGUAGACUGAUCCUUGAGAUAUAUUGAAAGAUUAAUAGAAAUCCAACUCUUGUGAAAACUGGUUAAACAAGUAUCAGGAGUCUUGUCAAAGAGUGUGAGUGUGGUGCUGUGAGAUUCAGAACUGAAGAAAAAGAAGCGGGAAAGAGGUCAGGUGCAAACUCAACCAGGUAAAAAUAAUUAAUAAGAUCAAAUCUAAAAUCAUAGUUUAACUGAAAGAAAAUGUCUUACUCUUCAAUUACAAAGUUCAGCUUUUAAAUGUAUGAAAGAGACAAAAAAGCUUAAAAAGGAAAGACAAAAAAAAAACAUGAAAUCUGACCUUUAUUGCACUGUAGAUCCAGAGGUCCAAAUCUGCAUGGCAUUAAAACCUACAAGACAAACCCAAGGAUGUUUCUAUUAUAGACCUCAGAAACUUAAAUUCACUGUUCCUAACAGACAAAAAAAAAACCUGGACAAAAGCAAAGUGGAUGUGUCAGAAAAUGUAGAAAAUGUAAAAAAGAAAUAACGGCAGUCAGAGGGGAAAUAGCGUCAAAUAAACAGACACAAAAAAAAGAGAGAAAGUCCGACUUCAAGAUGAAAAACUGUUUUAUGUUACGGCGUUUCAAACAGCAACAAAGCGUCAGCAGAGAGAGGAGGUGAAGAGGAAGGGAGGGAGGAAUAUGAAUAAUAAAAAAAGAGUGGACAUGUUAAAGAGAGGAAGGUGUUUUUAUCACAACUUCUCCCAGGAGUCCUCCUUUUUCUGUCGCUCGUCAGUGUGGCGCAAUGCUACCUUAUGGCUGAGCACAGGAGUUUUAGUGAGCUCCGGGGGGAAUGUGCUGCUUGGUCACACACAAACACACACACACACAGACACACACACACACACACACACAAAGAGGAUAUAACAUACAGCACCUAGAGCAGUGCAGAAUCCUGUUCAAAGCCUCCAUAUGAUUCUCCUUCACACAGAACCGGCAGAGGAAAAGGAGAGCGGACAGAGAGACUCAAAAGCUCUCCCCCUGAGGAGCUGAAUAGAUGGAUGGAUGGAAGGACCGAGGGGGAGAUGAAGGUGGGAUAAAGACGAACAGAGGGACGACAGGAGCAUCAAACUGUGGCGGCUGGUGACGCGAGGUGCAUAGGAAUUUAGGCUCCAAAAGCGAGAGGGAAGGAGAGGUCAAGAAGACAGAGAGAUGCUGAAAAAGUUGGCGUGGAAAAGAGAGAUAAAGAGGUAGAUACGGGAUUGCGUGAGC